CGGGCAGGUGGUUUAGUUAAGUCUUCUGUGAAACUCCGGGGCUCAACCCCGGACAUGCAGAAGAUACUGGCAGACUGGAGUAUGGUAGAGGCAAGCGGAAUUCCUGGUGUAGCGGUGGAAUGCGUAGAUAUCAGGAAGAACACCUGUGGCGAAGGCGGCUUGCUGGGCCAUUACUGACACUCAUCCGCGAAAGCGUGGGAGCAAACA
rnacentral:rRNA from 1 species